rnacentral:rRNA from 1 species
UACGUAGGGGGCAAGCGUUGUCCGGAUUAUUGGGCGUAAAGAGCGUGUAGGCGGCUGGGUAGGUCCGCUGUGAAAACUCGAGGCUUAACCUCGAGACGUCGGUGGAAACCAUCCAGCUAGAGUCCGGAAGAGGAGAGUGGAAUUCCUGGUGUAGCGGUGAAAUGCGCAGAUAUCAGGAAGAACACCCGUGGCGAAAGCGGCUCUCUGGGACGGUACUGACGCUGAGACGCGAAAGCGUGGGGAGCGAACAGG